AUUGAACGCUGGCGGCAGGCCUAACACAUGCAAGUCGAACGAGUGGCGGACGGGUGAGUAAUGUCUGGGAAACUGCCUGAUGGAGGGGGAUAACUACUGGAAACGGUAGCUAAUACCGCAUACCAUCGGAUGUGCCCAGAUGGGAUUAGCUAGUAGGUGGGGUAAAGGCUCACCUAGGCGUCGGUCCCUAGCUGGUCUGCGAGGAUGACCAGCCACCCUGGAACUGCGACACGGUCCAUACUCCUACGGUAGGCAGCAGUGGGGAAUUUUGCACAAUGGGCUCAAUCCUGAUGCAGCCCUGCCGCGUGUAUGAAGAAGGCCUUCGGGUUGUAAAGUACUUUCAGCGGGGAGGCGUUACCCGCAGAAGAAGCACCGGCUAACUCCGUGCCAGCAGCCGCGGUAAUAC
rnacentral:rRNA from 1 species